rnacentral:rRNA from 1 species
UGGGGAAUAUUGCACAAUGGGAGCAAGCCUGAUGCAGCCAUGCCGCGUGUGUGAAGAAGGCCUUCGGGUUGUAAAGCACUUUCAGCGAGGAGGAAGGUGGUGAGCUUAAUACGCUCAUCAAUUGACGUUACUCGCAGAAGAAGCACCGGCUAACUCCGUGCCAGCAGCCGCGGUAAUACGGAGGGUGCAAGCGUUAAUCGGAAUUACUGGGCGUAAAGCGCACGCAGGCGGUUUGUUAAGUCAGAUGUGAAAUCCCCGGGGCUCAACCUGGGAACUGCAUUUGAAACUGGCAAGCUAGAGUCUCGUAGAGGGGGGCUAGAAUUCCAGGUGUAGCGGUGAAAUGCGUAGAGAUCUGGAGGAAUACCGGUGGCGAAGGCGGCCCCCUGGACGAAGACUGACGCUCAGGUGCGAAAGGCGUGGGGAGCAAACAGAUUAGAUACCCUGGUAGUCAGCGCUGUAAACGAUGUCG